rnacentral:rRNA from 1 species
UACGGGGGGGGGCAAGCGUUGUUCGGAAUUACUGGGCGUAAAGGGCUCGUAGGCGGCCAACUAAGUCAGACGUGAAAUCCCCAGGCUUAACCUGGGAACUGCGUCUGAUACUGGAUGGCUUGAAUUCGGGAGAGGGAUGCAGAAUUCCAGGUGUAGCGGUGAAAUGCGUAGAUAUCUGGAGGAAUACCGGUGGCGAAGGCGGCAUCCUGGACCGACAUUGACGCUGAGGAGCGAAAGCUAGGGGGAGCAAACGGG